GCAAGUGAAGAGCAAAUUAACUAUAUACAGUGUGAUAUUUUAUACUUCAUGAAUUUCAAGAGGAAAUUGGAACUACAAGAGUCACAAGCUCUUGCCAGGAACAGAGGAAAGUGUAAAAUAAGCUGUAGAAAAUACACUGAAAACUUCUGCCUGCUUCAUAGAAAUAGGAAAGCAACACAAAACAAAAUUGUUUAAGCCCUUGCUUAACUUCUGAAAUCAUGAUACCAUUCACAUAUGUUAAUAAAGGAGCUGCCAACUUGCUUAGAGCCAAACAUUUUUCUGGACUGGGACUGCAGUUCUCAGCACCAGGCAGCAUCAUGUCUUUCUGAAACAGUCUCAUGACCCCAGUCUAUGAAGAAAUUCCUAAGAAACACUUGAUCAGAUAAGAAGAAUGUUUUCAAGCAAUAAUCAUGCAAAGGUUUCUCAGAUGGAUCAUUUUGUGCCAUGAAUAGAACACUGUGGGGCACUGUUUUUUACAAAUAACUUUUAUCCUUUUUUUUUUUUUUUUUUUUUUUUUUCCUCCACACAGUUGUCUUUUAUUUCCUUGCAAUGUUGGUGGUAGGAAUUGCUGUAGGCCUCACAGGAAGCACCCAGCCAACUUGGAGUUUCAUAAAACAUCAUACAGGCUUAAGCCUGCCCAGAUAUGCUGUUAAGCACUUAGCUAAGUGCAGGGAAGUUAUGAUAACUAAAUUCAAGUAUUUCUUAACCAGUAAAUCAAAUCAUAACAUAAUCUGAUUUAGGAUAUAUCAACAACACAAUGCAGUGUCCUCUUUAAACUACCUCAGGUGCUGGAUCAUGUUCAUAAAGUGGUCUUCUCAGCUAAAUACAACCUGCUUCUCAGCUGCCUACUAAUUAGCCUGAAUAGAAAUCCAUGCUAAUGAGCUUUUUCUACUCUCGGUAUCUGUACUUCUUCAGAUAUCGUCAAACAGCAGUGAACCAUUAUAUUCAUGACCACAAAACUGGUCUCUUGGAUGUGGACUGAGUGCCCCUGAAGGCAGUAAAAGCUUAGUAAUAAUAUAAAUUAAGAAUUUAGCCAAGAAGGAAGAGAAGGGAACAUCAGAAUCGUGUUUGGUCUUCUUCACUUUCUCCUUACCCAGAAAUAACUCCAGAACUAAAACACUGAAAAAAAGAACCAGACUUGUGUUUCUUGCAUGAUUUCCAGCAGCCUCAGCAACAUAAAUUGGAAGCCACCCAUCUAGCUGAUGCAUGAAGACCACUAACCAUACACUCAAUAAUGUAUUUCCAUUUUUGCUGUCUUUUUGGAUUAUUUCAAUGGCACAGCUCAAGGCAGCUGCAUUCAGUGCCUAAGGAGUUGCAGCUGUUCAUCAUGGAUAUGUCAGGAAGGAGAGGGUUUGGAGCUCCUUUCCAGGGAUCCUACUGUGUAGAAGGCUGGCAAGGGCUGUGGAAAAGGGAGGGUAUUGAAAAGAAUUUCUGUAAAGCUGUUUCCCAUAGUUGUGGCUUUGGUCACAUGGGGUAAAUAGCUGAGGUGGUUUUUGGUUGGACAGCCUGGGCACUCUCACAGCAGCUAUCAGGCAGUCAGCAUUUUGGGGCUGGUGACUUAAUUGUUGAGGGCUUCAGUUUUCAGCCGUUUCCUUCAUAUAUCUUAUAAGGCCCAUCAUGUACAGAUGUUUGUAAUGAAAUAACUCAUUCUUUAAAUUUGGUCUUUCAGGUUGCUAGCACGUGAAGGCAGGUCAGUUUUUUAGUCAAACUCAUAAUUUUUUGGGAAGCAAUGUUUGAAGACAUGUAGGGGUAAGCACGAUAACGUAAUGAAAGACUUCCAAUUUAAUUAUGCUAAGAGAGACAGAGAAGGUUCUUUUCUGAUGACAAAUAAGCAGAUGUCUUUGCUUUAAUUAUAUCACUUUAAGGAAGGCUGUAAGGAAGGCUGAACCACUGUAAAGAAGUUUUUGCUGGUGGCUUUUUAAGUUCCAAAAGGCAACAUUCUUUGCAAUGUUAGGCAGUUACCACGGUACCGUGGACUUAUUUUUAGCCAGUAGCUGGAGAAUUUUGCUACCUAGAGAAUGUAUGUAGGUGUGUCAUGAUGGAAAACAAGUCACAUAGAAUUUAUACAGAAACCUACUGGACACUUGCUUGGGGAAGUAUACAUUAUUUUUAUCUGAUUAGUUUUGCUCUAGUCUUCUGUGGUCAUCUGAAGUGUAUGAGUACUAUGUUACAAAGGAUUUCCAUCUUCAGUGGUAAGCUUAGAAGAUAUAUAUUGACAAGUUAAAUGGGGAUCAAAUGCUUCACAGAUUAUGGAAUCUUUUUUCCAUAUGGCACCCCUACACUACAGUUUUAUGGGUCUAGUACUCCAGCUGCAUCAGUUUAUAGGAGGUGUAUAUGACACCUCUUUCUUGGUGCCAAACUUAUUUCAUAUUCUGUAUCCCACCACUGAGGCAAAGGUAAACGAAGCAGGAUAGAAGACAGAAGAGGAUGAAUGAACCUGACAGUCGUUGUGUCACCUCAACCCAGAAGACAGAAAGUGCUAUGUUGCAACAGGAACCUCAAGGAAAUUCAUGACAGUUUUACCAUUCUCCCACAGUAAAUACUGGCCAUUCAGCUGCUUCUGAAAAGAACUUACUCCUUUCAGAGUCAACAUCUAAGCUCUGUAAGUGCAAUGGAAAUGGGUGAAGAAAUGGGUGAAGAGCAAAAUUUGCACAAGAUUUUUGGAAGAAGUUUACAAAAUGAUUAACCAUUCACUAGGAACUUGCCAAUAAAGUAUGAGACCAAGACCAUAAAUACAAUUUUUAUGUUGAAUUAUUUGACUAGUUAGAUUCAAUAAAUCUUUAAA